rnacentral:piRNA from 1 species
UACCUCGGUCGGUCAAACAUU